ACCAGGCGCAGGCUGCUCUUAAGAUUCUAAUUAAGAUGUAAUCUAGUUGAAGGGCCUCGUGUACGUUCUAUGUUCACCAACGUCCUGUGUGCCUUAAGGAUGAAGAACUGUAAAACCUAAGUGUGACGUAGGACCUCCAGAUCUCCGUCUUAAGUUACGGGAGGGGUGCAACGGCACAGGAACAGUUCUGCAGGCCAAACGUUUUGUGUGUAGAUGAAACAUUACACAUGAAACUGUUUCUACGCCACUGAGUGACGUAAAUCAUGAGAGAAUGGCUGCAUCACAUCAAUGCCAAACUGUCUUCAUAUGCCAUGCCGGAGAAAGCAAGCCAUUUGUGCGACAACUUGUCGAUCGCCUUAAAACCGACGGUCUGGAGGAGGACCAGAUUUUCUUUGAUGAGAGGUCUUUAGACACCGGUGAUGAAUUAGACAGCAUCGUCAAAGUCAUAGAGAGCCCCUCCCUGAAACUAUUUGUAUUUGUGGUCAGCAAGUACUGUUUUGAUGUCGAUAGAACUUGGAUCCGUACAGAAUGGGAAGCGGCGCUCGAGAACAACAAACAAAUCUUCCCAAUUUGGCUUGAUGACAACAAUGAUGAUUUUAAGGCAUUUGGCAACCUUGUCAGGAAGUUUUCAAACAAGCUGAGGAAGAUGAUUGCACAGAGGGUGAACCCGCAG